rnacentral:rRNA from 1 species
UUAAGCGACUAAGCGUACACGGUGGAUGCCCUGGCAGUCAGAGGCGAUGAAGGACGUGCUAAUCUGCGAUAAGCGUCGGUAAGGUGAUAUGAACCGUUAUAACCGGCGAUUUCCGAAUGGGGAAACCCAGUGUGUUUCGACACACUAUCAUUAACUGAAUCCAUAGGUUAAUGAGGCGAACCGGGGGAACUGAAACAUCUAAGUACCCCGAGGAAAAGAAAUCAACCGAGAUUCCCCCAGUAGCGGCGAGCGAACGGGGAGGAGCCCAGAGCCUGAAUCAGUGUGUGUGUUAGUGGAAGCGUCUGGAAAGGCGCGCGAUACAGGGUGACAGCCCCGUACACAAAAAUGCACAUGCUGUGAGCUCGAUGAGUAGGGCGGGACACGUGGUAUCCUGUCUGAAUAUGGGGGGACCAUCCUCCAAGGCUAAAUACUCCUGACUGACCGAUAGUGAACCAGUACCGUGAGGGAAAGGCGAAAAGAACCCCGGCGAGGGGAGUGAAAAAGAACCUGAAACCGUGUACGUACAAGCAGUGGGAGCACGCUUAGGCGUGUGACUGCGUACCUUUUGUAUAAUGGGUCAGCGACUUAUAUUCUGUAGCAAGGUUAACCGAAUAGGGGAGCCGAAGGGAAACCGAGUCUUAACUGGGCGUUAAGUUGCAGGGUAUAGACCCGAAACCCGGUGAUCUAGCCAUGGGCAGGUUGAAGGUUGGGUAACACUAACUGGAGGACCGAACCGACUAAUGUUGAAAAAUUAGCGGAUGACUUGUGGCUGGGGGUGAAAGGCCAAUCAAACCGGGAGAUAGCUGGUUCUCCCCGAAAGCUAUUUAGGUAGCGCCUCGUGAAUUCAUCUCCGGGGGUAGAGCACUGUUUCGGCAAGGGGGUCAUCCCGACUUACCAACCCGAUGCAAACUGCGAAUACCGGAGAAUGUUAUCACGGGAGACACACGGCGGGUGCUAACGUCCGUCGUGAAGAGGGAAACAACCCAGACCGCCAGCUAAGGUCCCAAAGUCAUGGUUAAGUGGGAAACGAUGUGGGAAGGCCCAGACAGCCAGGAUGUUGGCUUAGAAGCAGCCAUCAUUUAAAGAAAGCGUAAUAGCUCACUGGUCGAGUCGGCCUGCGCGGAAGAUGUAACGGGGCUAAACCAUGCACCGAAGCUGCGGCAGCGACGCUUAUGCGUUGUUGGGUAGGGGAGCGUUCUGUAAGCCUGCGAAGGUGUGCUGUGAGGCAUGCUGGAGGUAUCAGAAGUGCGAAUGCUGACAUAAGUAACGAUAAAGCGGGUGAAAAGCCCGCUCGCCGGAAGACCAAGGGUUCCUGUCCAACGUUAAUCGGGGCAGGGUGAGUCGACCCCUAAGGCGAGGCCGAAAGGCGUAGUCGAUGGGAAACAGGUUAAUAUUCCUGUACUUGGUGUUACUGCGAAGGGGGGACGGAGAAGGCUAUGUUGGCCGGGCGACGGUUGUCCCGGUUUAAGCGUGUAGGCUGGUUUUCCAGGCAAAUCCGGAAAAUCAAGGCUGAGGCGUGAUGACGAGGCACUACGGUGCUGAAGCAACAAAUGCCCUGCUUCCAGGAAAAGCCUCUAAGCAUCAGGUAACAUCAAAUCGUACCCCAAACCGACACAGGUGGUCAGGUAGAGAAUACCAAGGCGCUUGAGAGAACUCGGGUGAAGGAACUAGGCAAAAUGGUGCCGUAACUUCGGGAGAAGGCACGCUGAUAUGUAGGUGAAGUCCCUUGCGGAUGGAGCUGAAAUCAGUCGAAGAUACCAGCUGGCUGCAACUGUUUAUUAAAAACACAGCACUGUGCAAACACGAAAGUGGACGUAUACGGUGUGACGCCUGCCCGGUGCCGGAAGGUUAAUUGAUGGGGUUAGCGGUAACGCGAAGCUCUUGAUCGAAGCCCCGGUAAACGGCGGCCGUAACUAUAACGGUCCUAAGGUAGCGAAAUUCCUUGUCGGGUAAGUUCCGACCUGCACGAAUGGCGUAAUGAUGGCCAGGCUGUCUCCACCCGAGACUCAGUGAAAUUGAACUCGCUGUGAAGAUGCAGUGUACCCGCGGCAAGACGGAAAGACCCCGUGAACCUUUACUAUAGCUUGACACUGAACAUUGAGCCUUGAUGUGUAGGAUAGGUGGGAGGCUUUGAAGUGUGGACGCCAGUCUGCAUGGAGCCGACCUUGAAAUACCACCCUUUAAUGUUUGAUGUUCUAACGUGGACCCGUAAUCCGGGUUGCGGACAGUGUCUGGUGGGUAGUUUGACUGGGGCGGUCUCCUCCUAAAGAGUAACGGAGGAGCACGAAGGUUGGCUAAUCCUGGUCGGACAUCAGGAGGUUAGUGCAAUGGCAUAAGCCAGCUUGACUGCGAGCGUGACGGCGCGAGCAGGUGCGAAAGCAGGUCAUAGUGAUCCGGUGGUUCUGAAUGGAAGGGCCAUCGCUCAACGGAUAAAAGGUACUCCGGGGAUAACAGGCUGAUACCGCCCAAGAGUUCAUAUCGACGGCGGUGUUUGGCACCUCGAUGUCGGCUCAUCACAUCCUGGGGCUGAAGUAGGUCCCAAGGGUAUGGCUGUUCGCCAUUUAAAGUGGUACGCGAGCUGGGUUUAGAACGUCGUGAGACAGUUCGGUCCCUAUCUGCCGUGGGCGCUGGAGAACUGAGGGGGGCUGCUCCUAGUACGAGAGGACCGGAGUGGACGCAUCACUGGUGUUCGGGUUGUCAUGCCAAUGGCACUGCCCGGUAGCUAAAUGCGGAAGAGAUAAGUGCUGAAAGCAUCUAAGCACGAAACUUGCCCCGAGAUGAGUUCUCCCUGACUCCUUGAGAGUCCUGAAGGAACGUUGAAGACGACGACGUUGAUAGGCCGGGUGUGUAAGCGCAGCGAUGCGUUGAGCUAACCGGUACUAAUGAACCGUGAGGCUUAACCUU